rnacentral:rRNA from 1 species
UACGAAGGGGGCUAGCGUUGUUCGGAAUCACUGGGCGUAAAGGGCGCGUAGGCGGCUUGAUAAGUCGGGGGUGAAAGCCUGUGGCUCAACCACAGAAUUGCCUCGAUACUGUCGAGCUUGAGACCGGAAGAGGUAAGUGGAACUGCGAGUGUAGAGGUGAAAUUCGUAGAUAUUCGCAAGAACACCAGUGGCGAAGGCGGACUUACUGGUCCGGUUCGUGACGCUGAGGCGCGAAAAGCGUGGGGGAGCAAACAGG